rnacentral:lncRNA from 1 species
AAUCUAAAUGUGAGAGAGAAAUAAAGAAAGUUAGAAUAAGUAAUAUUUCAAGAUUAGCUUUAGUACCGGGCAUAGCCUGGAGUUAUUAGGUGUAAACUAAGAGAUAAACUUUGCUUUAUAAAUCUAAAAGAUAAUUUUUCAACAAAUAAUCGGUGUUACUUUCUGUUUUUUGUGAUCAUCAUCAACCAUACUUACUGAAUAAUAAGAUCUUCUAUCCUCAAGAAUGAAUAAUAAUUAUCAAAGCUUGAGAUAAAACAAAGAAAUUGUUCAGUUUGCCAACGACAACAACAAAACUCUUACGGCGAUGAGCGUACAUACGUUUGUUCUUAACCCUCAUCUAACGUCAAAUGCAUUACGAAAAAAACAUACUUCAUCUUUCUGUUCUUUUUUAGUAUGGGCUUUAGCUACACAGGCUCAUUGUUAAAUAUGAAUGCAGAGCUCUUAUUUUAUAGAAAUAUGGUUACUUUAAAAACUUUUAAUGAAAGAAAAAAUUUAAUAUGAUGAA